rnacentral:pre_miRNA from 2 species
UCAUUUUUGUGAUUUGCAGCUUGUAAUUUUGGUCUCAGUUGCAUAGUCACAAAAGUGAUC